rnacentral:rRNA from 1 species
UACAGAGGUGGCAAGCGUUGUUCGGAAUUACUGGGCGUAAAGGGCGCGUAGGCGGCCUUCUAAGUCAGACGUGAAAUCCCCCGGCUUAACCUGGGAACUGCGUCUGAUACUGGGAGGCUUGAGUAUGGGAGAGGGAUGUAGAAUUCCAGGUGUAGCGGUGAAAUGCGUAGAUAUCUGGAGGAAUACCGGUGGCGAAGGCGGCAUCCUGGACCGACAUUGACGCUGAGGAGCGAAAGCCAGGGGAGCAAACGGG